rnacentral:rRNA from 1 species
UGCGCAGGCGGGUUUGUAAGUCAGUGGUGAAAUCCUGCCGCUUAACGGUAGAAUUGCCAUUGAUACUGCGAAUCUUGAGUAUGGUUGAGGUAGGCGGAAUGUGUAGUGUAGCGGUGAAAUGCAUAGAUAUUACACAGAACUCCGAUUGCGAAGGCAGCUUACUAAGCCACAACUGACGCUGAGGCACGAAAGCGUGGGGAGCGAACAGGAUUAGAUACCCUGGUAGUCC